rnacentral:lncRNA from 1 species
CUUGGUCCCCAUCCAAAUGGCAUGAAUGCCAUCUGCGUUUGAUCUUUGCAAGCGUUUGAAAUUCCUUCCGCGAACCUCUCUGGUUUAAAUUCUUCUGCAUCUUCACCCCAUAGCUCAGUAUCGCGGUUAAUUAACAUGAUAGGUAGUGUGAGAUCCAUCCCUUCUGGAAUUGAGAGAUCUCCUAUUCCACAUUCCUUGCAAGCGCGUUUAUAUAGAGCAAUCACUGGUGGAUAUAGCCUGAGAACUUCAUUGAGUAUCAUUGUUACCUGCAAAAGACACAAUUAUGAAGUGGCGUAUUAGUCGUUUUGGAAAAUUGAAUUUAUUUGUUCUAAAGUAAAGAUGAAAACUCACAAUUUUGAGGUGGCUUAUUGCUUCGGCAUCAGGAUUCUUCUCCUUACAUACAUGUAAAACUUCUUGCCUUGCCUUUUCUUGCCAAUCUUGCAGCAUUAUAGGUAGUGUCAGAUCCAUCCCUUCUGGAAUUAAGAGAUCUCCUAUUCUACAUUCCUUGUAAGCGCGUUUAUAUAGAGCAAUCACUGGUGGAUAUAGCCUGAGAACUUCAUUGAGUAUCAUUGUUACCUGCAAAAGACACAAGUUUGAAGUGGCUUAGUAGUCGUUUUGGCAAAUUGAAUUUGUUUUAAAGUAAAGAUGAAAACUCACAAUUUUGAGGUGGCUUAUUGUUUCGGUAUCAGGAUUCUUCUCCUUACAUACAUGUAAAACUUCUUGCCUUGCCUUUUCUUGCCAAUCCU